rnacentral:rRNA from 1 species
UACGUAGGGGGCAAGCGUUGUCCGGAAUCAUUGGGCGUAAAGCGCGUGUAGGCGGCCCGAUAAGUCCGCUGUGAAAGUCCAGGGCUCAACCCUGGAAUGCCGGUGGAUACUGUCGGGCUCGAGUCCGGAAGAGGCGAGUGGAAUUCCUGGUGUAGCGGUGAAAUGCGUAGAUAUCAAGAGGAACACCAGUGGCGAAGGCGAGUCCCUGGACAAACCCUGACACUGAGGCACGAAAGCCAAGGGAGCAAACAGG